GUGAGGAAUAUUGGUCAAUGGGCGGGAGCCUGAACCAGCCAAGUCGCGUGAAGGAAGAAGGAUCUAUGGUUCGUAAACUUCUUUUGCAGGGGAAUAAAGUGCAGGACGUGUCCUGUUUUGUAUGUACCCUGAGAAUAAGGAUCGGCUAACUCCGUGCCAGCAGCCGCGGUAAUACGGAGGAUCCGAGCGUUAUCCGGAUUUAUCGGGUUUAAAGGGUGCGUAGGUGGUUUGAUAAGUCAGCGGUGAAAGUUUGCAGCUUAACUGUAAAAAUGCCGUUGAAACUGUCGGACUUGAGUGUAAAUGAGGUAGGCGGAAUGCGUGGUGUAGCGGUGAAAUGCAUAGAUAUCACGCAGAACUCCGAUUGCGAAGGCAGCUUACUAAGCUACAACUGACACUGAAGCACGAAAGCGUGGGGAUCAAACAGGAUUAGAUACCCCUGUAGUCC
rnacentral:rRNA from 1 species